rnacentral:rRNA from 1 species
GGAGAAUCAUCUUUGUUAGGAACAUGGAGGGUGUGCUCCAGAAUAAUUUGCAGCCUUCCCGUUACCUAUUAGAUGACUCUUUAGUGGCGAACGGUUGAGUAACACGUGGGCAACCUGCCCCCAAGUGUGGGAUAACCUGUCUAAAGGCAGGCUAAUACCGCAUGUGGAUGUUCUUUUGCAUGAAAGAACAUCUAAAGCAAUUAAUUGCGCUUGAGGAUGGGCCCGCGGCCUAUCAGGUAGUUGGCGGGGUAAAUGCCCACCAAGCCUGCAACGGGUAGCUGGUCUUAGAGGACGGCCAGCCAGACGGGGACUGAGACAAGGCCCCGGCGGCAAAUCCAAACCCAGGGAUGCAGCUUUGAAGUUACCAGCAAACCGGGUCUGGAGUAGCCGGCAGCAGUGGGGAAUCUUGCGCAAUGGGGGAAACCCUGACGCAGCGACGCCGCGUGGGCGAAGAAGUCUUUAGGGAUGUAAAGCCCUGUCCUACAGGGAAGAAAAAAAUGACGGUACCUGUAGAGAAAGCACCGACCAAUCACGUGCCAGCAGUCGCUAUAAAACGUGAGGUGCAAGCGUUGUCCAGUAUCAUUGGGCGUAAAGGGCGUCCAGGCGGAUAGAACAGUCUGGUGUGAAAUCCCCCGGCCCAACCGGGGAAGUGCGCCGGAUACUUUCUAUCUUGAGGGCGGUAGAGAAGAGUGGAACUUCCGGUGUAGCAGUAAAAUGCGUUGAUAUCGGAAGGAACACCAAUGGCGAAGGCAGCUCUUUGGGCCGCUCCUGACGCUGACGGCGCGAAAGCCAGGGGCGCGAUCCGGAUUGGAUACCCGGGUAGUCCUGGCCGUAAACUAUGGACACUGGUCUUGGGAUGGAUAGCGUCCUCCCGAGGCGAAGCAUACGCGUUAAGUGUCCCGCCUGCGGAGUACGGUCGCAAGACUGAAAAUCAUGGGAAUUGGGGAUGCCUGCACAAGCGGCGGAGCAUGUGGCUUAAUUGGACGCUGUCCCAAGAACCUUACCAGGGCUGCCUGUAUGUCUGGAUAAUGGGCCCGCGUGCCGGAAAACGGCGCCGGUAGCCCACCCCCAUAGAAAGGGCAUGCAGGCAAGGUGCUGAAUAGCUGUCGUCAGCCCGUGCCGUGAGGCGUUGGGUUCAUUCCUGAAACGGGCGAAACCCCACACCCCUUGUUGCUCCAUUACCCGGACUUGUUGUCCGGGGAGUUGAGGACUCUUGGGGAACCGCCGCCCGGUACCUUUUUAAAGGUAUUUGGGUUGGAGGAAGGAGGGGAUGACGUCAAGUCCGUAUGGCCCGCAAGUCCUGGGCUGCACACGUGCUACAGUGGCUCGUACAAUGGGCGAUCCCGCAAGGGUGAGAUAAUCCUUAAAACGGGCCGUGGUUCGGAUUGCAGUCUGCAAUUCGACUGCAUGAAGUUGAAGUCGCUAGUAACUGCCGGUCAGCAAUACGGCGGUGAAUACGUUCCCAGGCAUUCUUCAUACCGCUAACCGCGGACCGCCCAGGUGGAACCUGCCGAAGUCCGGUACCCACUCCGGGCGAGGAGGUUCCAACCAGGUGGACGCAGGUGAAGCAUGUUAACCGUACUGGAAGGUGCGGUUG